rnacentral:misc_RNA from 1 species
GAAGUUUCUUUCUGAGUUGCUCUUGUUCUUUCUUUCUCAAAAACUCUAUAAACAAAUAUCUGAAAUGGAAUUUGCGAUAUAGGUGAUGAAUCAGUUGCAUCCCAGGAUGGAUAUUUCCUUAAAAGAUUUGACUCCACGUCACCAUAGUCCACUGCUGGCAUUAGUGAGUCUGGCUCUCUAUUAUAAUCAGGGUUCAUGGCGAGGAAACGUUUUGUAUA